AGAGCGAACGCUGGCGGCAGGCUUAACACAUGCAAGUCGAGCGGGCGUAGCAAGUACGUCAGCGGCAGACGGGUGAGUAACGCGUGGGAACGUACCUUUGGUUCGGAACAACCCAGGGAAACUUGGGCUAAUACCGGAUAAGCCCUUACGGGGAAAGAUUUAUCGCCGAAAGAUCGGCCCGCGUCUGAUUAGCUAGUUGGUGAGGUAAUGGCUCACCAAGGCGACGAUCAGUAGCUGGUCUGAGAGGAUGAUCAGCCACAUUGGGACUGAGACACGGCCCAAACUCCUACGGGAGGCAGCAGUGGGGAAUAUUGGACAAUGGGCGCAAGCCUGAUCCAGCCAUGCCGCGUGAGUGAUGAAGGCCCUAGGGUUGUAAAGCUCUUUUGUGCGGGAAGAUAAUGACGGUACCGCAAGAAUAAGCCCCGGCUAACUCGUGCCAGCAGCCGC
rnacentral:rRNA from 1 species